CAGAAAACAUCAGUCCAGUUUGUAAGGGAGGGAGAAAAUCCUCCACCCACAACAACAACAAGAACCGGUUUGCUACUAAAGGACCAAUCGUGGGACAUGAAGGUCAACCUGGGAGGAAGGCUGCAGUUCCCCCUGGACUGUCUAGGCAAUCCUGAGGCCGGAUGUGGUACUAUGGUCUGAAGAGGCAAAAAGAUCAACCUCAUAGAACUUACAGCAUCAUGGGAAGAGGGGUUUGAACAGAAGCACCAAAUACCAAGACCUUCUGCAUGACGGCAGGGGGACAGGAUGGCAGGCAUGGCUGUUCCCGGUCAAGGUCGGCUGUAGAGGAUUCCCUGCUCAGUCAGCGUGGAAAAUACUCAGCCAAUGAAAUGACGGGGAAGGAAACAAAGACAGAGAGCAGCUCGUGGGACGAGGAGACAGCAGGAAGAGACUGCUGCUGGUUAUGGAGCAGGAGAGAGCAGCUAAGCUGGAAGCCAGGAGGGGAAGGUGGGCAGGAACUCAGCCGACCCGCCGUCGGGAGGGUGUUGCGGAUGAGGGUCGAAACACCCAAUGAAAGAUGGGUACUGCCUGACGACAUUGACCCCUCUUGGCCAAGGCUACACUCACUUAAGGUCAAUGAAGGUGAAAAGCAUCUUCAGAUGUAUCUGUGAUCUUCUAUCAGUGUGUGAAAUUUGUUUGACUGUUUUCUUCUCUUUUCUCUUGUUCAUUUAAAAAAAAAAAUUUGUAUUGAUUAUGAUUAUAAACUGUGCACAAAACCUAAAAUCACAGUGACUGGAAAACCAAGAGCAAGAUGAGGAUUGAUCCAGCAGGAUUUAGGCUUGAACCCGACACACGGGCCUCAUUUCAACAGCAUCAUUUGUUCCCACAUGAAUAAGAUGAACUGAAUGAAUGCUAACAUAGCCAGCUAAAGGAAUGCUCAUUGUGUUGGUGUUUUUGUUGAAUAUUUGUUGCCGUUAUAAUCUGACAGCAAAUUCUCUUGUCUAGGUUUCAUCAGUUGUCAGGAUUAUUGAGACUAGCUGCGAGCUGGCGCUAAGUAAACCACAGUGAGGGCGAGCUAGCAGCGAGCAAGUCAGUCACGUUUUGAUUAUUCGUACCGCAGUUAAGAGUUUGGACAAAUAUUCCUUCUGGAGAAAAAAAAACUAAAAAAAAAAAAAAAAAGAAAAAUUUUCAAAACAGAU